rnacentral:rRNA from 1 species
UACGAAGGGGGCUAGCGUUGUUCGGAAUUACUGGGCGUAAAGCGCGCGUAGGCGGUGAUCUAUGUCAGAGGUGAAAUCCCGGGGCUCAACUCCGGAAUUGCCUUUGAAACGGGAUUGCUAGAGUCCGAGAGAGGAUGGCGGAAUUCCUAGUGUAGAGGUGAAAUUCGUAGAUAUUAGGAAGAACACCGGUGGCGAAGGCGGCCAUCUGGCUCGGUACUGACGCUCAGGCGCGAAAGCGUGGGGAGCAAACAGG